AUCCAGCUGAUGAGUCACAAAUAGGACGAAACACGAGUAUUGGAU
rnacentral:hammerhead_ribozyme from 1 species